rnacentral:lncRNA from 1 species
UGGAAACGAGCAGGAUCACAACACGCCAACAAUGACGUGUAACCUUAUCACCCAUCAGCUUUCUCUGACACCUGCCUGAUGAUAUCAGGUGAGAUAGGCAUGUU